rnacentral:rRNA from 1 species
CCUACGGGAGGCAGCAGUGAGGAAUAUUGGACAAUGGGCGCAAGCCUGAUCCAGCCAUGCCGCGUGCAGGAAGAAGCAUCUAUGGUGUGUAAACUGCUUUUGUACAGGAAGAAACACUCCCUCGUGAGGGAGCUUGACGGUACUGUAAGAAUAAGGACCGGCUAACUCCGUGCCAGCAGCCGCGGUAAUACGGAGGGUCCGAGCGUUAUCCGGAAUCAUUGGGUUUAAAGGGUCCGUAGGCGGUUUAAUAAGUCAGUGGUGAAAUCUGGUCGCUCAACGAUCAAACGGCCAUUGAUACUGUUAGACUUGAAUUAUAAGGAAGUAACUAGAAUAUGUAGUGUAGCGGUGAAAUGCUUAGAUAUUACAUGGAAUACCAAUUGCGAAGGCAGGUUACUACUUAUGGAUUGACGCUGAUGGACGAAAGCGUGGGGAGCGAACAGGAUUAGAUACCCUGGUAGUCCACGCCGUAAACGAUGGAUACUAGCUGUUCGGAGCAAUCUGAGUGGCUAAGCGAAAGUGAUAAGUAUCCCACCUGGGGAGUACGUUCGCAAGAAUGAAACUCAAAUGAAAUUGACCGGNUGAGAGAGCGAGACGACACGAGGGAGAGG